GAUGAACGCUGGCGGCAUGCCUAACACAUGCAAGUCGAGCGAACGGACGAGAAUCUUGCGUCUCUGAUGUUAGCGACGGACGGGUGAGUAACACGUGGAUAGCCAACCUAUAAGACUGGGGUAACUUCGGGAAACCGUAGCUAAUACCGGAUAAUAUUUUGAACCGGAGGGUUCAAAAGUGAAAGACUGUCUUGCUGUCACUUAUAGAUGUAUCCGCGCUGCAUUAGCUAGUUGGUAAGGUAACGGCUAACCACGGCAACGAUGCAUAGCCGACCUGGGAGGUGGAUCGGCCACACUGGAACUGAGACACGGGCCAGACUCCUACGGGAGGCAGGAGUAGGGAAUCUUGGGCAAUGGGCGAAAGCCUGACGGAGCAACGCCGCGUGGGUGAAGAAGGUCUUCGGAUGGUAAAGCACUGUUAUUAGGGAAGAAGAUAUGUGUAAGUAGCAGUGGACGUCUUGACGGUACCUAAUGAGAAAGCAACGGCUAACUACGUG
rnacentral:rRNA from 1 species